GUCGAACGCUGAAACCUGAUGCUUGCAUCGGGUGGAUGAGUGGCGAACGGGUGAGUAACACGUGAGUAACCUGCCCCCGACUUCGGGAUAAGCCCGGGAAACUGGGUCUAAUACCGGAUAUGACCAACGCUCGCAUGAGUGUUGGUGGAAAGUCUUUUCGGUUGGGGAUGGGCUCGCGGCCUAUCAGUUUGUUGGUGAGGUAAUGGCUCACCAAGACGACGACGGGUAGCCGGCCUGAGAGGGCGACCGGCCACACUGGGACUGAGACACGGCCCAGACUCCUACGGGAGGCAGCAGUGGGGAAUAUUGCACAAUGGGGGAAACCCUGAUGCAGCGACGCAGCGUGCGGGAUGACGGCCUUCGGGUUGUAAACCGCUUUCAGCAGGGAAGAAGCCCCUUGGGGUGACGGUACCUGCAGAAGAAGUACCGGCUAACUACGUGCCAGCAGCCGCGGUAAUACGUAGGGUACAAGCGUUGUCCGGAAUUAUUGGGCGUAAAGAGCUCGUAGGUGGUUGGUCACGUCUGCUGUGGAAACGCAACGCUUAACGUUGCGCGUGCAGUGGGUACGGGCUGACUAGAGUGCAGUAGGGGAGUCUGGAAUUCCUGGUGUAGCGGUGAAAUGCGCAGAUAUCAGGAGGAACACCGGUGGCGAAGGCGGGACUCUGGGCUGUAACUGACACUGAGGAGCGAAAGCAUGGGGAGCGAACAGGAUUAGAUACCCUGGUAGUCCAUGCCGUAAACGUUGGGCACUAGGUGUGGGGGACAUUCCACGUUCUCCGCGCCGUAGCUCUGACUAGAGUGCAGUAGGGGAGUCUGGAAUUCCUGGUGUAGCGGUGAAAUGCGCAGAUAUCAGGAGGAACACCGGUGGCGAAGGCGGGACUCUGGGCUGUAACUGACACUGAGGAGCGAAAGCAUGGGGAGCGAACAGGAUUAGAUACCCUGGUAGUCCAUGCCGUAAACGUUGGGCACUAGGUGUGGGGGACAUUCCACGUUCUCCGCGCCGUAGCUAACGCAUUAAGUGCCCCGCCUGGGGAGUACGGUCGCAAGGCUAAAACUCAAAGGAAUUGACGGGGGCCCGCACAAGCGGCGGAGCAUGCGGAUUAAUUCGAUGCAACGCGAAGAACCUUACCAAGGCUUGACAUACACUAGACCGUCCUGGAAACAGGUCCUCUCCUUUGGAGUUGGUGUACAGGUGGUGCAUGGUUGUCGUCAGCUCGUGUCGUGAGAUGUUGGGUUAAGUCCCGCAACGAGCGCAACCCUCGUUCUAUGUUGCCAGCACGUGAUGGUGGGAACUCAUAGGAGACUGCCGGGGUCAACUCGGAGGAAGGUGGGGAUGACGUCAAAUCAUCAUGCCCUUUAUGUCUUGGGCUUCACGCAUGCUACAAUGGCUGGUACAGAGAGAUGCGAGACCGUGAGGUUUUAGCGAAUCCCUUAAAGCCAGUCU
rnacentral:rRNA from 1 species